rnacentral:rRNA from 1 species
AGCAGCCGCGGUAAUUCCAGCUCCAAUAGCGUAUAUUAAAGUUGUUGCAGUUAAAAAGCUCGUAGUUGAAUUUCGGGGUCUGUCCAUUGGUCGGGCUUCACGGUCCUUACUGGUGAGAUGGGUUCCUACCUUCUGAAUAACCGGCAUGCCAUUCAGUUGGUGCGCCGGGGAAGCAGAGCUAUUACCUUGAAAAAAUUAGAGUGCUUAAAGCAGGCUAUUGCUUGAAUAGAUUAGCAUGGAAUAAUAAAAUAGGACGGCAUGGUUCUAUUUUGUUGGUUUCUAGGAUCACCGUAAUGAUUAAUAGGGAUAGUUGGGGGCAUUAGUAUUCAAUUGUCAGAGGUGAAAUUCUUAGAUUUAUUGAAGACUAACUUCUGCGAAAGCAUUUGCCAAGGAUGUUUUCAUUAAUCAAGAACGAAAGUUAGGGGAUCGAAGACGAUCAGAUACCGUCGUAGUCUUAACCAUAAACUAUGCCGACUAGGGAUCGGACGAUGUUAAUUUUUUAAUGACUCGUUCGGCGCCU